UGAGAAUUCAAUUUCUAGGCUCAGUGAAUCCUAGGCUGUUCCAACAAAAGGAAAGCACCACCCUCUAGGGCACAGAUUCUUAAAGUGGAGUCUGUGAACCCCCGGCCUGGAUGGACAUGGAUGGACAUGAAGGGAUCCCUGAACUUCUUAAAAUUGGUGUAAAAUUUUGUGUGCAUGUGUCCAUAUGUCUUGUCCCUGGGGUGAGGUCCAGAACUUGCAUCAGAUUCUCAAAGGGUUUAUGAAUCCUCUACAGUUUAUGAACCAGGGCUCUGGGGAGGGGAGGACACAAGGAUCUUUAUGGCCUGGACCUGCACUUUGGCCCGGGUGGCCUCUCCAUUCCACCUUUCCCCCCGUUUUCAAAUGUACAGUGAAAGGAAGUCAAGAAUCCGUGUUUGUGCCAUGCUGGCUUUCUGAGGCUUCAGCCCUCCAGCUUUGGAGCCUGUUCCUUCUUCUAAGGCUGAAGCCUGACCAAGCUUGCUCAUUCCUCCUAAGGCAUCAUCACGUGCUCUCUUUUCUUUUAUUAUUUAAGCAUAAUGAUGUACAAUGUUCUAUUACUUUCAGGUGUACCACUAAGGAACCAUCCCUUUAGCUGUGACUUGAAAGUUGUCUUGUCUUCUCAAUAGCUCCCAUUCAAAUCUGCGUGAUGGUAUUUGGAGCAAACUGCUUGACACUGUCUGCCCUGGGAGUGUUCCUAAUAGAAUGUUCUCUUUUCACAUGGAAUUGGGCUUUGAUAAGCCUCUAUGGAACAAGAGUCCCGGAAAACGUCUCAUGCUUUUGUUCUUUUGACCAUCAAAGUUCACUAUAUCAGUGCUUGUAAAUAAGAGAAUUCCUCUUCAAGAGGACAAUCAAUCAGGCCCUGACUUGAAAGAUCAAUAGAAACUUGAUAUAUGGACGGGAAAGGCCAAUCAAUCACAGAAUUACUGGUUUAUGAUUGCUUAUUUCUCUUAUCAGUGCUUGCGCAUCCGACAUUAUCAUUAGCAAAGAUGGGAAAUUCGAAUUUCUGAGCAGAGUAGAUUGUAAUAUUCCAGGGUCAGCCAAAAACAUUGUAUUUUUACUCUGGAUUGGCCCACAAUUUCUCUACUUCUAAAAUCCAGCUUUAGAAAUUUAAGGCUUUCUGAGGAUGUCAUAAAUUAUUAAAUAAAUUGAGGGCUCUAACUCAGCACCCUUCCAACUGCUGAGAAAAGCAAGGCUGGGAACAGGGAUUGUUCACCAAAGACAAGCAGGUGCCCAUUUUUCAGCAUAAAUGGUUUUGUGGGGAGAUUUUGCAGAAGGGAAAAAGAAGCGGUCAGUCGGGUGGAUGGUGGAUUAGUGGGGUUGGAAGCUGUCAGAGGACUCAAGCUCAGCGCUCGGCUGAAACCUUGGGUAGCUUGGCAGGCUCCCCAGGCUGUUUGACAUCAUGUUUUAAGAUCUUGGCAAUCAUUUUCUCUUUUUUCCAUUAUUCAGAGUUUUGGUCUAUCAAUCAUCAUAAAAAUGAACCAUUAAAUUUGCCUCAAUUGAACCAGUUUUAUUUAUUGUUACAUUUCAGGGAACUUGCUAACCUGGAGGUUGGCAGGCCUGGACUGGGGAGGAUGGAAAGGCAUGUGAGUGUGAGAAAGGGGGCGAGGAAAGUCCGGGUGGUCAGUGACAGCAGUCAGGGGCGGGGAGGACACAAGAUGACAACUGGAUAGCUAGGAAUUCAGUGUUCUGAGGAGGAAUGUGUCAGCUAGAUUGGGGGGCGGGCGGUCUGAGAGCGCUUGAAAGAGGGGAAAUUCAGACUCAAACUCGGAGCCCAUGUCCCGAACUGGGUGCGGGAGGAUAAUGAUCCCGUCGAGGCCAGCCUGGUGUGCAGGACCCGUGCACACACUGGACAUGGCUGAUGAUGGAAGUGUGUGCAAAACACAGGCUGUGCACGAGAGAAAAAUCCUAAACUGUGAAGCGAAGAGGGAGGGCGGGAAGAGAAAUGAGAAAGAUACACACAACUUGAACUUUGCCUAAAAAAGAGAGAAAGGAUAAGGGGAAGGUAAACACUUUGCAGAUGGGAGAAAACAAGGUGCCAAGCGCAGAAUUCAGGAACAAUAGAGACAGCACCAUUUCAGAGCUGAUAGAAUUGUGAUACCAUGUGAGACCGGCGUAUUAAUAUGUAUUCCAUAAACUGUGCGGCUCGCAGCUCCGCACCGCUCUGUUUUGCUCUGACCGUAGUACCAGCCUCAGGCACCACAACACAAUUUGGAAACAAUGUGACGGAAAUGUUUAAUCUGCUCGGCCCAUCUGUGCUGCGUAUUUCUCCAGAUCUCCCUGAGAGAGGCGCCUUGAAUCUCCACAUUGCCUUUAAUAUUCUCCUAAAUCACCUCCCCACUGCACUUCAAGGGCCAUUGCUACAAUAUCACAGGUUCAUCUAAAGUGCAAUGGGGAGGGGGGUUUGGGGGGGGGGAAGCGCAGGCCAGGAUAUUUUUUAUUUUAAAAUAAUUUCCAGAGAUUGUCUUUCCAGCUUCCUUAAAAAAAAAAAAAAGAAAGAAAAAAAGAGAAAAGAAACGUUAUUCUACUAUUGCCGUAAGGUUAUUGAGGUUGUUUGGUACAAAACAGGGUAGGAUAGAGUGGAAUCAUUCUCCAAAGAAUUAUUUUUAUUAAUCUCGAUUCCCUCAAUUGGACAUGGGAGGGGGUGAGCAGAUGCUUCUUUCCUCUUAUCUCGUUUUCUUGCGCCUUGCUAGGGUGAUGAGUUCAUUUGGGGCUGGUGUCUCCUCGGCUUGAUGUUCUCCUCAUUGGGUACUGGCUUAACUCUGCCCUGCUGCAGACAAAGCCAUCUUGCUCAGGACAGGUAGACAUUUGGACCCUGGUCAACUAAAUGCCCUCACCAGAAAGGGAUACCGCCUAUAUUGUUAAUUGCAGCUUCAAACCUUAGGUUUUUCCUCUCUUUAAGGUACAGAUAUUGAGUGUCAGAUUUCUGCUCCCCCCCCCCCCCCGCCCCGUCCCCCAAACCCCCUGCUUGAUUUUGCCAGAUUUCAGUGAUUUGGGGCUAGAAUGUAGGAAGCUGGGGGUAGGUUUCAGAGAAAGAGGGGAUGACAAGUCACCAUGUCCCAGACCUUAGACAAAUGAAAGAGAGUUGCGCAUCACCAAGAAAAUUAGGAUUCCUUUUGCUUUGUGAAUUAAAGAAAUGAAUAAUUUAAUCCUCAAGAUUGUUCCGGCGAGGGAAAGGCAAACGUCCCAGUUGCGGAGCCCUACAGCCUGUCGGUGUGUUACAUCAUCUGCACACAUAGGCGUUUCCAUGACAACCGCUUAUAGCUUCAUUUCCUGGAUCCCUCUAGGGGGUGUCACAGCCAGAUCCACCUGCUUUUCACCCUACCCUCGGUGGGGUCAUGGAUUGUCUUAUAGAGGAUGAAUGAUGACAAAAACUUGUCAAUAUAGGAAGGAAGAAUGAAAAGAACAGCACGGCAUCAUUUACCAUUUGAAAAUGGCCUGAUCUUGGAGCACCAAAAAGCAAAGAGAGACAGGAACGGGAAAGAUUCAACGUAGAGACCCACUCGGUCAGAAUGUUCCACCAGGCUCUGCUUUUUAGGAAUCGGCCAACACCUUUACUAGGUGUUUAUAGAUGCUCUGUUUGUGGAAAGUACAGUGAAAAAUAACAAUUUGAAUGUUUCGAUUAUCUUUCCCAGUCCGUUCCAUUUUCAUUAUUUAUUUCCUAUAAAUCGGGACCUUGCUGAACAUAAUUCUGCAGACAAGGAGGUGGAUGGGACAGCCAAUGUGAACGAGGAGAUAGAUGGUGGGUGCGUGUAAGAUGGAUGCUAUGCGUUUAUGAAAAGGAGCAGUAUGUCUGCAUGUGAACAUCCACAGAGUAGAGCAAGCAAGCGUGUAAACUAUAAUGGGUAUUUAUAGGUGAAAAAAAAAAAAAGGUGCAAGGAAUAUUGGAUGGGAACAAGCACACUGAGCCUGAAAAGGGUUUGCUUUUUUCCUAACCUCUUGGAAUCCACGUCCAAGUUCUGCUAAGGUGUCCCAUGGUUGCUGCGGCUCCUGUGAAAACUCAAGCCUUUUCAUGACAACAGAUGGGGGAUUUCACAGCCAGAAGACUCAGGAGGUCAACAGUUGAAAAGCAAGAGUUAGAAAGCGAGAUCUUUAUCGACAUCAAAAACAAUCCCACCAAGAAAACCCAGAACGAUAGAAGGAGGAAAAUAUUUAAAGACACAGUAGGAAAAAAAAAAAAAAAAAAAGGGAGCCUUUAUAAAAAUGCGGGUUUAAAGUGUUUAUGCUGUUGUAUCAGCCUAGUUGCACCUUAGAAUCUGCCAUUUCAUAAAUAAAAUACGGAUGGCAUAGCCUAUAAUUUGGUGAUAGCUACCCCAGGACAUAUCUAGAUGCACUUGUGUUAUUUUAAUUAAAUACUGCAUUAUGGUUUGUGACAACUACAUAGCUACAGCGUAAAUGAAUUCGGAAUUAAAGCGUUACUUAGGCAUCCAGUAAUUUUUGUUUCAUUCCUCAGUUUUACAAAGCAAAUAGCUAUAAAAUCAAGAUGUUUGUUCAUUUACAGAUGGAGCAGGAUUGUUGUUGCUGUUUUUUUCCUCCUUAAUCCUCAUGCACAAAAAGAAGACAGAGCUCAGAGUCUGGCUCCCAACACUCUCAGCUUAUGAGCCACAUCACAAAGAAAAACACAUCCUCUUGACUAUAAUGUGAAAUGCUGAAUAUUAAUUGCUGGUAUUAUGCUUAUCUUUCUAGCCGGGUUCUGUCUUUUAACAAUUAUUCCGAUGGGCUGCAGUCUUGCACCGCCAGGAGAUUUUUCUCCUUUGUUGAACAGUUAAAACCUAUUUGAUUUCAUUUUAUUAAAAGAGAAUCUUAAAGUUCACAAUGCUCCUUGGAAGUUUUAGUAUCUGGAACUCUUCCCCAAAUAUAGAAUAUUAGUGGGAACAGAGAAACUGCCAAAGCUCUUUGAUUAAAAAAAAAAAAAAAGAAAGACACACAUAUCUGCAUCUAAAAGAAAAAAAAUAUUUUUCAUUCUGGCAAUAUUAGUGUUUCCUUAAUGAGACUGGAGAGGGCAUUAUAAUUUGAUAAAAUCAAUUGGUUAGUUUAAAUGUCACUUAGCUAGCAAAUCAUGAGAAAGGUUCAGAAUAUUCUCAUCUAACAGGCACGGAUUUUCACUCAAAAUUAAUAUGGUAGGGUAAAAGGAUUUUUGCUCAAAUAUGAGGAUUUAAUUAUAUCUUUAAUGUGUCAUAUGUCAAGAUGAAAGUUUUUAAAUAGCAAGUUUUCUGAAACCACUAUUAUUUCUAGUUUGAGAAUCAAUAUAAUCUUUUUAUUAGCCCUUAAAUACCAUACGUCUGGCAACGUCUGCUAAUUCCAGCUUUUCUGGGUUCUAACCAAUUACCCCAAGUGGCCCCCCUCACCUCCUGCCAACUAAUCCUAUAAACUGCAUGGAAGUUACUCCCCUGUAUGUUUGCAGUGAGGUUAUAAUUUGCUUUUAACAUUUUGCUAGUUUGGUUGCAGAGCUGGACCCAUAGAAUCCCCAGAAACGCUGGCAGACAGGGGUUUGGGGAGGCUGAGCUCCUUUUGAGAAAAUAAUUACACAGAAACAAAGCUUUUGUGACUCCUUUUAAAUAGAACAUCUCACCGAAAUGUCAUCCAGCCUCUUUGGCAGAUUAGUGAGGAGUUUAUUACUAAAUCUCUGUCUAAUAAACGUGCAGUUGACUCUGGAGGAGCUGCUUGUUAUAAUACUGGCAGUGGGAAAUGGAAGGAAUGUCACAGUUAAAGACACAAAUUUUCCCCAUAAUAUAUUCGAAUGGAAACCUCUGAAUCCAAUACUACAUGGGCAUAUCUAAUAAAUUCACAAUAUUUCAGUCUCACCAGCCUUCACCGGUUAGUUUUAAAGAUUUAUGUGGUAAAAAAUUACUCAGUGAUGAAUAUGGUUUAUUCUGUGCAGUAUUGGAGGUAUAAGGAAUUAAACUACCGUCUUUAACAGUGAAUUUAUUAUUACCUCUGUCAAAAGACGAAGCCUUUAACAGCAUUUGUUAUAAAUUCACUGCAAAAUAAAUGGCUGGAAUAUUUUUA